CGCGAAGAACCUUACCAAAUCUUGGCAUCCUUUGACAACUCUAGAGAUAGAGCUUUCCUCUUCGGAGGACAAAGUGACAGGUGGUGCAUGGUUGUCGUCAGCUCGUGUCGUGAGAUGUUGGGUUAAGUCCCGCAACGAGCGCAACCCUUGAACUUAGUUGCCAUCAUUCAGUUGGGCACUCUAAGUUGACUGCCGGUGACAAACCGGAGGAAGGUGGGGAUGACGUCAAAUCAUCAUGCCCCUUAUGAUUUGGGCUACACACGUGCUACAAUGGACAAUACAAAGGGCAGCGAAACCGCGAGGUCAAGCAAAUCCCAUAAAGUUGUUCUCAGUUCGGAUUGUAGUCUGCAACUCGACUACAUGAAGCUGGAAUCGCUAGUAAUCGUAGAUCAGCAUGCUACGGUGAAUACGUUCCCGGGUCUUGUACACACC
rnacentral:rRNA from 1 species